ensembl:lncRNA
GGAGAAAGGAUGGCAGAGGAGGGAGACCAGAGCCAGGGAGACCAAUAGUCUAGGGGAGAGAUAAAGAGGCCCUGCUAGGGUGGUGGCUUUGUGAGUCAAGAAAAGAAGCUGGUUGUGAGAGAUGUUAUGGAGGAAGAACCUGACAAGACUUGGCAGCUGAUUGGCUAUGUGGUGACAGGGUGAGGAAUCAAGAAUCAAGACAACAACAAGGUUGUAAGUCUCCAUGCCUGGAAGAAGAGUUGAGCCCUCUGCAGUAAUAGGUAACUUUGGAAGAGGGUAGGCUGGGGUAGGGGAUGGGGGUAGGAUGGAAUCAUGAUUUCUAUAUUGGACAUGUUGAGUUUGAGAUGGAAUCAGGAAGUCCCAAGUUCAAAUCCUGCCUAAAAUACUUGCUAGUCUUGUAAUCCAAAUCUUCCUACUUCAGCUUCUAUAAAGUGGGACAAAUAAUAACCCCCGCCUCCCAGGCUUGUUCUGAGGUAAAAUGAGCUAAUAUUUGUAAAGGGCUUCUUUUAUGGAGCUUCUGAAAGCACUUUAUAAAUGCAAUAAAUAAAUGCAAUUAGAUGCAAAUGGUGCCAGGGCCUACCACUGUACCUGGGACGUGUUAUUGUUCCAUUGUUUCAGUCCUAUCUGACUCUCUGCGGCCCCACUUGGGGUUUGACUAAGUCCUUACUAAAUAUUCGUUGGUUGUGGGUAGAUAGGUUCAUUUUGCAAGAAGAAGGUCCAGGUGGAACUUCAGGGGACGGUGCUGCUCCACGGCUGGGUUUCUUGCAGAGAAGUAUCCCAGCAACGGGUCUGCCCUUGGGUACGGUAGACUGGCCUGCACCCCAGCCCAUCACCAGUCAUCCCGAUUUUGGCCCUGCCACUGAACUUGGACGACUUUGGAGGCCAGAAUGAGGCUGAUGACUGCGAAACGGCCUCGCUUCCACCCGGUUCAGGAGCACGUCAAGACAUCAUCCAUCACCCGCGAUGUCGUCGGUCCUCUUUGGAAACAAAUGAAGGACUAAUGAUGAUGGCCACUGACCUGCAGAGAGCUGUGCAUCUGGGAGGCCCUGCCCCAGGGGUCCGGCACCUUGAGAGGAAGAAGCUGAUCCAUGGAGAUGGAGUCAUUUAUCCAAAGUCAGAUAGACAACAUUGGAGAUGGAAUUUGAACAUGUAUAACAGGCACUGGGCUAAUUGCUGAGGAUACAAUUGACAAAAAGAGAGUCUCUUCUCUGGAGGAGUUUACAAUCUAAUGGGAGAGAUAACACUCCAAGGAGGUAGGAAAAGAGAAGAGACACCACUGGGUCUCUAGUUCCAUAAUGUUUAAACUAGGCAGAGUAGCAGAUUAGAAUGGAAUGAGCUAUGAGUCCACCUUCUGCCCUCUAUAAAGGAAGGCAUUGGGAGGAGUUUGGUACUCCACCAUUCAAAGGGAAGAGGAGCCUCAGGGAAAUGGUUUCAAUCAAGGCUUGAGUUGGGGAUGGGUGAUGAGAUUAGAGGUGAUGACUCAAGAGGGGGGAUAUGAAGUUGAGACCAGGAGGUGCAGUAAUGGGUCCAAAGCUGCACAUUUUUUUAAAGCUCUUAUUCUAGUCCUGGUAUACAAAAAAACUAAAACAUCCGAUUGUACAAAACAGGCCUAAAGCUGCCUCAAUAUAGAAAUUUUCUGUUCUUGCUGAAUAAACCUGUACAUUUUGUGUGUUUGUGUGUCUAC